UACGGAGGGUGCAAGCGUUAUCCGGAUUUACUGGGUUUAAAGGGUGUGUAGGCGGGUCUUUAAGUCAGUGGUGAAAUCUCCGAGCUUAACUUGGAAACUGCCAUUGAUACUAUUGAUCUUGAAUUCUGUUGAGGUGGGCGGAAUAAGUCAUGUAGCGGUGAAAUGCAUAGAUAUGACUUAGAACACCAAUUGCGAAGGCAGCUCGCUAAACAGAUAUUGACGCUGAGGCACGAAAGCGUGGGGAUCAAACAGG
rnacentral:rRNA from 1 species